rnacentral:pre_miRNA from 1 species
UAACUACUCCCUCCGUUCGGAAUUACUUGUCGCACAAAUGAAUGUAUCUAGACGUAUUUCAGUUCUAGAUACAUCCAUUUCCGAGACAAGUAAUUCCGAAAGGAGGGAGUACUCC